GAUGAACGCUGGCGGCGUGCUUAACACAUGCAAGUCGAACGAGAAAUGGAGACGGAACCCUUCGGGCGGACGGCUUCAUUUCGAGUGGCGGACGGGUGAGUAACGCGUGGGUAACCUGCCUCAUACAGGGGGAUAACAGUUGGAAACGACUGUUAAUACCGCAUAAGACCACAGCACCGCAUGGUGCGGGGGUAAAAACUCCGGUGGUAUGAGAUGGACCCGCGUUCGAUUAGCCAGUUGGCGGGGUAACGGCCCACCAAAGCGACGAUCGAUAGCCGAUCUGAGAGGAUGACCGGCCACAUUGGGACUGAGACACGGCCCAAACUCCUACGGGAGGCAGCAGUGGGGAAUAUUGCACAAUGGGGGAAACCCUGAUGCAGCGACGCCGCGUGAGUGAAGAAGUACUUCGGUAUGUAAAGCUCUAUCAGCAGGGAAGAAAAUGACGGUACCUGAGGAAGAAGCCCCGGCUAACUACGUG
rnacentral:rRNA from 1 species